UACGUAGGGUGCAAGCGUUGUCCGGAAUUAUUUGGGCGUAAAAGAGCUCGUAGGCGGUUGGGUAAGUCGGGUGUGAAAAACUCCAGGCUCAACUUGGAGACGCCACCCCGAUACUGCUCUGACUUGAGUUCGGUAGGGGAGUGGGGGAAUUCCUGGUGUAGCGGUGAAAUGCGCAGAUAUCAGGAGGAACACCGGUGGCGAAGGCGCCACUCUGGGCCGAAACUGACGCUGAGGAGCGAAAAGCGUGGGGAGCAAACAGG
rnacentral:rRNA from 1 species